UGGGCACUAGGACUCUGCAAGGAGUACUGAAACAGUGCUCCCUAUAGGGUCUGCCCUCAGUGGGCUAGGCUCCAUGAUGGACAGGCAGUGUGGCUCCCAUUCACAUCAGGCUGACCUGCUAUUAACUUGGGCAGACCCAAGCCCUUUAUCAGUUGGUCUGUACAUUGGGGCGGAUUUAGUUACAUGAUCACAUUAUUGACCCAGCCCC